GGGCCCAUAGCUUAGUCUGGAACGAGAUUAUCAACGCAUUCGUUGUCGACCAGUGGUCCCGAGUUCAAAUCUCGGUGGGCCCA
rnacentral:tRNA from 1 species